AGAGCAUGUCAAAAGGACAUCUACUAAUGAGUUGUUUGUAUCUUUCCCAAGCUUCAUAGAGGAAUUCACCCUCUUUUUGUCUGAAGGUUUGAAAUUCUAUUCUGAUUUU